rnacentral:rRNA from 1 species
AAACCAACAGGGAUUGCCUUAGUAACGGCGAGUGAAGCGGCAACAGCUCAAAUUUGAAAUCUGGCUCUCGGGCCCGAGUUGUAAUUUGUAGAGGAUGCUUUUGGUGAGGUGCCUUCCGAGUUCCCUGGAACGGGACGCCAUAGAGGGUGAGAGCCCCGUCUGGUUGGACGCCGAACCUCUGUAAAGCUCCUUCGACGAGUCGAGUAGUUUGGGAAUGCUGCUCUAAAUGGGAGGUAUAUGUCUUCUAAAGCUAAAUACCGGCCAGAGACCGAUAGCGCACAAGUAGAGUGAUCGAAAGAUGAAAAGAACUUUGAAAAGAGAGUUAAACAGUACGUGAAAUUGUUGAAAGGGAAGCGCUUGUGACCAGACUUGGGCUUGGUUGAUCAUCCGGGGUUCUCCCCGGUGCACUCUUCCGGCCCAGGCCAGCAUCAGUUCGCCCUGGGGGACAAAGGCAUCGGGAACGUGGCUCUCUCCGGGGAGUGUUAUAGCCCGUUGCGCAAUACCCUGCGGCGGACUGAGGUUCGCGCAUUCGCAAGGAUGCUGGCGUAAUGGUCAUCAGUGAC